AGUGAACGCUGGCGGUAGGCCUAACACAUGCAAGUCGAACGGCAGCACAGUAAGAGCUUGCUCUUACGGGUGGCGAGUGGCGGACGGGUGAGGAAUACAUCGGAAUCUACUUUUUCGUGGGGGAUAACGUAGGGAAACUUACGCUAAUACCGCAUACGACCUACGGGUGAAAGCAGGGGAUCUUCGGACCUUGCGCGAUUGAAUGAGCCGAUGUCGGAUUAGCUAGUUGGCGGGGUAAAGGCCCACCAAGGCGACGAUCCGUAGCUGGUCUGAGAGGAUGAUCAGCCACACGGGAACUGAGACACGGUCCAGACUCCUACGGGAGGCAGGAGUGGGGAAUAUUGGACAAUGGGCGCAAGCCUGAUCCAGCCAUACCGCGUGGGUGAAGAAGGCCUUCGGGUUGUAAAGCCCUUUUGUUGGGAAAGAAAAGCAGCAGGUUAAUACCCCGCUGUUCUGACGGUACCCAAAGAAUAAGCACCGGCUAACUUCGUG
rnacentral:rRNA from 1 species